AUGUACAUAUGUAAAUACACAACUAUAACCAUUUUAUUCAUUUUCCAUAAAGACUAUACAAUGGCUGAGGCUUUCUGGACCUGGCAGGCAGCCAUGGCGUCUGGCAGUCAGGACGAUGGGACCGACAGACCAGGCCCAUCACACAUGUUAGCAGCACCUUAUCACAUAGCCACAUCAUCCAGGGAAACACCUAUUCUGACCACCAUGAUACAGGCAGGAUCUAACGGUGAAGGAGGGAGGCAGCAAUCCUUUUACCAGCAUCGACUUCCACCUUUGAUGCCAACACCAUUCGGAGCGGCCAUUGCCCAGGUUCGACCACACCGCAGGACCAUACCUCCACCAUCCCCAGCACUGACUCCACCAUCACCAUUGCCACCAGUACUGACACCACCACCACCACCACCACCACCUACACCGGCGACAUCAACAUUAGAGGAACCCCAGCAUCCAGAGGAGAACAACGACCCAUGGCAGCAGAUCAACUUGCCUCCAGACCCAGCAGUGAAUCAUCCAGAGAAUGAUGAUGAGGAGGAGCCAUCAUCCAAUCCAACAUCUCCAGCAGAAUCUUCUGAGCUGGCCAACCAGGACCUCAACAGACGGCUGUUUCCCUCACGACGUCAUCACAUUUCUGAGGGAGAUGGUAACCUAAUGGGCAGAUACCUGUCGCGCCCAUGGAAUACCUAUACCACGGCACGUGACUUUGAGGAGGAGAUUGCCACAAUGUCACGCCACACCUUUUUUCUUACUACUCGGAACCUAUCACAGGAGGGAAGAAGGGCUCUUAAGGCAAUUCGGAGCAGAGCGCGACAGCGGAAUAAGAACAUGGAGCUUAGAGCGCGGGCUCAACGUGCCGAAAGAUCACUCGCCACUAUGGAGAACAAAAGGAACCGGGCCAGGAUGGAUGCUGAACGAUACAGGCAAGCUAUUAACUGUAUAUACAACCACUGCUGCAAUUACACAAUCGUGCUCCUUUCUGGAAUAAGUGACAUGCAAGAGGGAAACUUCCAUGGGCCCAACAUACUUCGUGAUGAACAUGUGGAAAUGGAGAGGGCACGAUUGCUCCCAAGGUUAUCAGAACCUUAUCCAUGA
rnacentral:lncRNA from 1 species